UACGGGAGGCAGCAGUGGGGAAUAUUGCACAAUGGGCGCAAGCCUGAUGCAGCCAUGCCGCGUGUAUGAAGAAGGCCUUCGGGUUGUAAAGUACUUUCAGUCGUGAGGAAGGUGUUAAGGUUAAUAACCUUAGCAAUUGACGUUAGCGACAGAAGAAGCACCGGCUAACUCCGUGCCAGCAGCCGCGGUAAUACGGAGGGUGCGAGCGUUAAUCGGAAUUACUGGGCGUAAAGGGCACGCAGGCGGUUAAUUAAGUUGGAUGUGAAAUCCCCGGGCUUAACCUGGGAAUGGCAUUCAAGACUGGUUAGCUAGAGUCUUGUAGAGGGGGUUAGAAUUCCAUGUGUAGCGGUGAAAUGCGUAGAGAUGUGGAGGAAUACCGGUGGCGAAGGCGGCCCCUGGACAAAGACUGACGCUCAUGUGCGAAAGCGUGGGGAGCAAACGAGGGAUUUAGAU
rnacentral:rRNA from 1 species